ensembl:lncRNA
CUGGACGCGAGGAAGCGGUUGCUGGCCUCCGUCCUCACGGUCUGCAGGCUGCGGCUGGAGGGGAGGUACCUGCCCGACGGCAAGCUGGAACCACAGCACGAGGCGCUAGUGCGAAAGAAGUUGCCCAGCUACCGGUGCCCAGUGAUGUCCCUGGGCAGGCACGCCGUGCUCGCCAUCACUGCAAGGAGCAAUGAGGACAUAGCCCGGGUCGGACAGCACCUCAGACGCUGCAUUACCUACAUCUGCUCUCUCGCUGAAAUGCAGGAGCACGACAGCUUUGACGCUCCCCUCCAUGAGCAGAUGCUGCAAUCUCUGGACAGAGUGCUGCAAGUGAGGCUGCGUCUUUCGCCAGGCUUCGCCAACGUGGAGAUCAUCUUGCAGGCCCUGCUGCCCUGCACCAAGUCCAACAGGGUGAGAGUGCGCCGCUGUGCCGUGGAGAGGAUUGUCAGCCUGAG